rnacentral:rRNA from 1 species
AGAGUUUGAUCCUGGCUCAGGAUGAACGCUAGCUACAGGCUUAACACAUGCAAGUCGAGGGGCAGCAUUGGAGUAACAAUACUUCAGAUGGCGACCGGCGCACGGGUGAGUAACACGUAUCCAACCUGCCGCUUACUCGGGGAUAGCCUUUCGAAAGAAAGAUUAAUACCCGAUGGUAUAAAGAGUUCGCAUGUUCUCUUUAUUAAAGAAUUUCGGUAAGCGAUGGGGAUGCGUUCCAUUAGAUAGUUGGCGGGGUAACGGCCCACCAAGUCUACGAUGGAUAGGGGUUCUGAGAGGAAGGUCCCCCACAUUGGAACUGAGACACGGUCCAAACUCCUACGGGAGGCAGCAGUGAGGAAUAUUGGUCAACGGACGAGAGUCUGAACCAGCCAAGUAGCGUGAAGGAUGACUGCCCUAUGGGUUGUAAACUUCUUUUAUAAGGGAAUAAAGUGAGGGACGUGUCCCUUUUUGUAUGUACCUUAUGAAUAAGGAUCGGCUAACUCCGUGCCAGCAGCCGCGGUAAUA